CUCAAGGGCCCUCAACCUGAGGCAGAUCUUCCUAGGAGCCCUGGCAACUUGACGGAGAGAGAAGAGCUGGCAGGGAGCCUGGCCCGGGCUAUUGCAGGUGGAGACGAGAAGGGGGCAGCCCAAGUGGCAGCCGUCCUGGCCCAGCAUCGUGUGGCCCUGAGUGUUCAGCUUCAGGAGGCCUGCUUCCCACCUGGCCCCAUCAGGCUGCAGGUCACACUUGAAGACGCUGCCUCUGCCGCAUCCGCCGCGUCCUCUGCACACGUUGCCCUGCAGGUCCACCCCCACCGCACCGUUGCAGCUCUCCAGGAGCAGGUGGGCACAGGGUCUGGGGAGCCCUGCCAGGGGCAGAGGAGCCUAGGUGACAUCACCUGCCCUGAUGCUCUGACCACAGGUGUUCUCAGAGCUCGGUUUCCCGCCAGCCGUGCAACGCUGGGUCAUCGGACGGUGCCUGUGUGUGCCUGAGCGCAGCCUUGCCUCUUACGGGGUUCAGCAGGAUGGGGACCCUGCUUUCCUCUACUUGC
rnacentral:sRNA from 1 species